ensembl:lncRNA
GUGCUAAGGUGCCUGUGCUAAGGUGCCCGUGCUAAGGUGCCCGUGCUAAGGUGCCCGUGGCGGCGCCUCCACAGACUUGGGCUCAGUAGCUGCGCGGCGUUGCGUCUCCUCGCCGCUUGGUCACCCUGCAGCGCUGCAACAGGUGCUGCGUCACGCUUUGCUUCAGUCGUCCAUAUUUGCCUGUGUCAGUGUAUCGUUAUCGUGUUUGUGACAUCAUUAAUGGCCCUUCGGUUGUUUUAAACGUUCAGUUGUUUAGUGUUAUUUAGUGACCUUUGUGGGAGGAGCCAGACAGGACACAGGCGGACGCAUCAUUUCAGGUAGCUUGGAGCUGACUUAAAAUGCACAAGUUUGACUUUUAAAGGAAAAUACAAAGACAUAAGGAUGAUUUUAAGGAAUUGAAACAAUGUAAAGGUGGAAAUACUUCCCUUAUCUGGUUCCUGUUAGCAGCAUAAUCUCCGUGUGUGUAGACGUUGGUUAGAAGAAGGUGAGCACUGAUGUUGGAGGCCACUGGAGAUGAUCUACCUCAAACUGUCACUGAGGCUUGGAGACGUGGAGUCACGUCUUCUCUGAGACCAUGUUCAUGAAAGGAAGCAGAACCUUCAGAGAGCAGCAGACUGGUGUGUUUGUUUGUGGGGGGACUUCUGGGCUGCGCACCCUAAACGCUAGCAGUUAGCUCAGCCAUUUAGCAUCUUUAGCAUCUCCUGAGGGGAGGUCAUGGCUAGAAAGAGAUCAGGUUUAGAGGCGUGCGUGUGUGUGUGUGUGUGUGCGUGUGUGCGUGCGUGUGUGGAAUUUCCGGACCUCACUUCCCUCCUCUGUCCAGCAGAGGGCGACACCGCUGCAACCUUUUGCAGAGGUUUGAUCAGCUCGGAUCUGUUCCGGUAUUUAUGAGCCUCCGGACCAGAGCGACCCCGCCCCCCUCCCCGCGUGACCACGACACCUAAAUGAUGUUUAGUGUCCGGACACAUUCCUAAAUAAUCGUGUUUAAGAGCACGUGAUGCGUGAGGCCACUGUACAACACACACUUCUUUAUCCUGACUCGAAGCUGCGACCAACCCAGGAAAAUGUGCUGGUUUUGGUCACUUUGUCCUGACAGAAAUGAACUCGGGGUGACCUUUGACCUCCUGCAUUCCAGGACCUAUCACCUGGACCACCUGUCCGUCCAAAGUUGGGUGGAUUUGUGCCGUUGCUCUGUGUGCACAGCCUGUGUUUGUGACCCACCAUGAUCUCUGCUCCUGCUUCUGUUGGUGGCUCCGAGCCUUUUCCAGCUCCUCCACAUGACCCGGUUCAUCCUGGCUGGACUUUGAUGGUUGACCUGGACGUUGGCUCACGUUCAGCAUGACGAGAAGGUGCCACAUUCAACUGGACCUCUCGUCAGCGCUCAUCAGAACUCGGGUUCAUUUGACUUUUGUCAGUCAGAACUGUUCCUCAGUGGACCCUCACAGCCGGAGCCUCCUGGAUGAGAGGUGAGACCUGCUCCAGAACCUGUUCCAAAACCUGUUCCAAAACCUGUUCCAGAACCUCGCACAGCCACGAGUCGCAGCACUGGUUCCGUG